rnacentral:rRNA from 1 species
GAUGAACGCUAGCGACAGGCCUAACACAUGCAAGUCGAACGGCAGCGCGGGGGCAACCCUGGCGGCGAGUGGCGAACGGGUGAGUAAUGUAUCGGAACGUAUCCUGUAAUGGGGGAUAACCAGUCGAAAGAUUGGGUAAUACCGCAUACGCACGAGAGUGGAAAGUAGGGGAUCGCAAGACCUUACGUUAUAGGAGCGGCCGAUAUCUGAUUAGCUAGUUGGUGGGGUAAAGGCCUACCAAGGCGACGAUCCGUAGCUGGUCUGAGAGGAUGAUCAGCCACACUGGAACUGAGACACGGUCCAGACUCCUACGGGAGGCAGCAGUAGGAAAUAUUGGACAAUGGGCGCAAGCCUGAUCCAGCCAUGCCGCGUGAGUGAAGAAGGCCCUCGGGUUGUAAAGCUCUUUUGUCCGGAAAGAAAAGCGCCGGGUUAAUACCCUGGUGUCCUGACGGUACCGGAAGAAUAAGCACCGGCUAACUACGUGCCAGCAGCCGCGGUAAUGAGUAGUA